GAUGAACGCUGGCGGCGUGCCUAAUACAUGCAAGUCGAGCGAACGGACGAGAAGCUUGCUUCUCUGAUGUUAGCGGCGGACGGGUGAGUAACACGUGGAUAACCUACCUAUAAGACUGGGAUAACUUCGGGAAACCGGAGCUAAUACCGGAUAAUAUUUUGAACCGCAUGGUUCAAAAGUGAUAGACGGUCUUGCUGUCACUUAUAGAUGGAUCCGCGCUGCAUUAGCUAGUUGGUAAGGUAACGGCUUACCAAGGCAACGAUGCAUAGCCGACCUGAGAGGGUGAUCAGCCACACGGGAACUGAGACACGGUCCAGACUCCUACGGGAGGCAGCAGUAGGGAAUCUUCCACAAUGGGCGAAAGCCUGACGGAGCAACGCCGCGUGAGUGAUGAAGGUCUUCGGAUCGUAAAACUCUGUUGUUAGGGAAGAACAUAUGUGUAAGUAACUGUGCACAUCUUGACGGUACCUAAUCAGAAAGCCACGGCUAACUACGUG
rnacentral:rRNA from 1 species